rnacentral:sRNA from 1 species
AAAGCAAGCUGGAGAGGGAGAGAGGAUGGGAGGCGAGGAGGCAGCCUGAGGGAAGGAACAGGAGGGAAGAGAGAUGAAGGGCAAGACCAGGGCCAGCCAUGCCUGUCCUAACAGCAGCCACCCAGCAGUGGCCCAGCCUGCUGAGAACUAGAAAAUCAGAAGAAAAAGGAGAAUCCACCAGGAGACCCAGGUUCCCAUGAGCAGGGGCCUUUAUCUGAAGUUAAUGGAAGCUGAGCCAGGUCCUGACAAUGUGCCUUCUGAUGGGGAGAUGAGACUUUCCUCUGAAAGCUAAGGUAACUCUGAAGCGUGAGCUGCCAGAAUUCAAGGCCACCUGCUUAACAGAAGACAACUAGAAACCUCAUCCAUGAGCAUAACGUUAUGUGGCUCAUUGUUUACCCGCUGCCUGCCUCCCGGCUGGAGAGGCGCAGGGAGCUGCCUGUCCCUCCUGUUCAGAGCCACCGUUCCGCACCUGGACCACCGCUUGGCAGAGGCGGGAGUGGAGGCUGUCACCAUCAGGAUGAAGGACAGGGGUGGCCCGGCGUG